UACGAAGGGGGCUAGCGUUGUUCGGAAUUACUGGGCGUAAAGCGCACGUAGGCGGCUUUGUAAGUUAGAGGUGAAAGCCUGGUGCUCAACACCAGAACUGCCUUUAAGACUGCAUCGCUUGAAUCAUGGAGAGGCGGGUGGAAUUCCGAGUGUAGAGGUGAAAUUCGUAGAUAUUCGGAAGAACACCAGUGGCGAAGGCGGCCCGCUGGACAUGUAUUGACGCUGAGGUGCGAAAGCGUGGGGAGCAAACAGG
rnacentral:rRNA from 1 species